rnacentral:tRNA from 1 species
CGGACUCGUAGGGCAUGCGGAGCACCUGGAGAUUUCCGUUCUCCCAAUACCCAUAGGUGGCAUUCCUGUCGGUCCGC